UUUGGUUAAGUUAGAAAGGGCGCACGGUGGAUGCCUUGACACUAGGAGUCGAUGAAGGACGGGACUAACGCCGAUAUGCUUCGGGGAGCUGUAAGUAAGCUUUGAUCCGAAGAUUUCCGAAUGGGGAAACCCACCAUACGUAAUGGUAUGGUAUCCUUAUCUGAAUACAUAGGGUAAGGAAGACAGACCCAGGGAACUGAAACAUCUAAGUACCUGGAGGAAGAGAAAGCAAAUGCGAUUUCCUGAGUAGCGGCGAGCGAAACGGAACAUAGCCCAAACCAAGAGGCUUGCCUCUUGGGGUUGUAGGACAUUCUAUACGGAGUUACAAAGGAACGAGGUAGACGAAGCGACCUGGAAAGGUCCGUCGUAGAGGGUAACAACCCCGUAGUCGAAACUUCGUUCUCUCUUGAAUGUAUCCUGAGUACGGCGGAACACGUGAAAUUCCGUCGGAAUCUGGGAGGACCAUCUCCCAAGGCUAAAUACUCCCUAGUGAUCGAUAGUGAACCAGUACCGUGAGGGAAAGGUGAAAAGCACCCCGGAAGGGGAGUGAAAGAGAUCCUGAAACCGUGUGCCUACAAAUAGUCAGAGCCCGUUAACGGGUGAUGGCGUGCCUUUUGUAGAAUGAACCGGCGAGUUACGAUCCCGUGCGAGGUUAAGCUGAAGAGGCGGAGCCGCAGCGAAAGCGAGUCUGAAUAGGGCGUUUAGUACGUGGUCGUAGACCCGAAACCAGGUGAUCUACCCAUGUCCAGGGUGAAGUUCAGGUAACACUGAAUGGAGGCCCGAACCCACGCACGUUGAAAAGUGCGGGGAUGAGGUGUGGGUAGCGGAGAAAUUCCAAUCGAACCUGGAGAUAGCUGGUUCUCCCCGAAAUAGCUUUAGGGCUAGCCUUAAGUGUAAGAGUCUUGGAGGUAGAGCACUGAUUGGACUAGGGGUCCUCAUCGGAUUACCGAAUUCAGUCAAACUCCGAAUGCCAAUGACUUAUCCUUAGGAGUCAGACUGCGAGUGAUAAGAUCCGUAGUCAAAAGGGAAACAGCCCAGACCGCCAGCUAAGGUCCCAAAGUGUGUAUUAAGUGGAAAAGGAUGUGGAGUUGCUUAGACAACUAGGAUGUUGGCUUAGAAGCAGCCACCAUUUAAAGAGUGCGUAAUAGCUCACUAGUCGAGUGACUCUGCGCCGAAAAUGUACCGGGGCUAAAUACACCACCGAAGCUGCGGAUUGAUACCGAAUGGUAUCAGUGGUAGGGGAGCGUUCUAAGGACAGUGAAGUCAGACCGUAAGGACUGGUGGAGUGCUUAGAAGUGAGAAUGCCGGUAUGAGUAGCGAAAGACGGGUGAGAAUCCCGUCCACCGAAUGCCUAAGGUUUCCUGAGGAAGGCUCGUCCGCUCAGGGUUAGUCAGGACCUAAGCCGAGGCCGACAGGCGUAGGCGAUGGACAACAGGUUGAUAUUCCUGUACCACCUCUUUAUCGUUUGAGCAAUGGAGGGACGCAGAAGGAUAGAAGAAGCGUGCGAUUGGUUGUGCACGUCCAAGCAGUUAGGCUGAUAAGUAGGCAAAUCCGCUUAUCAUAAAGGCUGAGCUGUGAUGGGGAAGCUCCUUAUGGAGCGAAGUCUUUGAUUCCCCGCUGCCAAGAAAAGCUUCUAGCGAGAUAAAAGGUGCCUGUACCGCAAACCGACACAGGUAGGCGAGGAGAGAAUCCUAAGGUGUGCGAGAGAACUCUGGUUAAGGAACUCGGCAAAAUGACCCCGUAACUUCGGGAGAAGGGGUGCUUUCUUAACGGAAAGCCGCAGUGAAUAGGCCCAAGCGACUGUUUAGCAAAAACACAGCUCUCUGCGAAGCCGUAAGGCGAAGUAUAGGGGGUGACACCUGCCCGGUGCUGGAAGGUUAAGGAGAGGGGUUAGCGUAAGCGAAGCUCUGAACUGAAGCCCCAGUAAACGGCGGCCGUAACUAUAACGGUCCUAAGGUAGCGAAAUUCCUUGUCGGGUAAGUUCCGACCCGCACGAAAGGUGUAACGAUUUGGGCACUGUCUCAACCAGAGACUCGGUGAAAUUAUAGUACCUGUGAAGAUGCAGGUUACCCGCGACAGGACGGAAAGACCCCGUGGAGCUUUACUGUAGCCUGAUAUUGAAUUUUGGUACAGUUUGUACAGGAUAGGCGGGAGCCAUUGAAACCGGAGCGCUAGCUUCGGUGGAGGCGCUGGUGGGAUACCGCCCUGACUGUAUUGAAAUUCUAACCUACGGGUCUUAUCGACCCGGGAGACAGUGUCAGGUGGGCAGUUUGACUGGGGCGGUCGCCUCCUAAAGUGUAACGGAGGCGCCCAAAGGUUCCCUCAGAAUGGUUGGAAAUCAUUCGUAGAGUGCAAAGGCAUAAGGGAGCUUGACUGCGAGACCUACAAGUCGAGCAGGGACGAAAGUCGGGCUUAGUGAUCCGGUGGUUCCGCAUGGAAGGGCCAUCGCUCAACGGAUAAAAGCUACCCCGGGGAUAACAGGCUUAUCUCCCCCAAGAGUCCACAUCGACGGGGAGGUUUGGCACCUCGAUGUCGGCUCAUCGCAUCCUGGGGCUGUAGUCGGUCCCAAGGGUUGGGCUGUUCGCCCAUUAAAGCGGUACGCGAGCUGGGUUCAGAACGUCGUGAGACAGUUCGGUCCCUAUCCGUCGUGGGCGUAGGAAAUUUGAGAGGAGCUGUCCUUAGUACGAGAGGACCGGGAUGGACGCACCGCUGGUGUACCAGUUGUUCUGCCAAGGGCAUAGCUGGGUAGCUAUGUGCGGAAGGGAUAAGUGCUGAAAGCAUCUAAGCAUGAAGCCCCCCUCAAGAUGAGAUUUCCCAUAGCGUAAGCUAGUAAGAUCCCUGAAAGAUGAUCAGGUUGAUAGGUUCGAGGUGGAAGCAUGGUGACAUGUGGAGCUGACGAAUACUAAUAGAUCGAGGACUUAACCAUAUAA
rnacentral:rRNA from 5 species